AGGGAUCGGAAGGAGAUAGGAGAAAAGUACAACACCAUCGAGAGUCACCACUAACAGUGUUCCAGUCCCCAAGCCUCGUAAUAUUUGCAGACGGGAAUAUCUUUUUCAAUGCAGCUGGAACAUUUCCAGAGAAUGACGGAAGAACUGGGGUCAUGCCUAACUCCUGCAUCCGAGAUAAUAUCCGUUUCUGCAAUGCUAACUGAAUAUUUAA
rnacentral:misc_RNA from 1 species